rnacentral:rRNA from 1 species
GACGAACGCUGGCGGCGUGCUUAACACAUGCAAGUCGAACGAUGAAGCUAGAGCUUGCUCUGGUGGAUUAGUGGCGAACGGGUGAGUAGCACGUGAGUAACCUGCCCCGAACUCUGGGAUAACUGCUGGAAACGGUAGCUAAUACCGGAUAUGACCAAUGAAGGCAUCUUCUGUUGGUGGAAAGAAUUUCGGUUCGGGAUGGAUUCGCGGCCUAUCAGCUUGUUGGUGAGGUAACGGCUCACCAAGGCGACGACGGGUAGCCGGCCUGAGAGGGUGAUCGGCCACACUGGGACUGAGACACGGCCCAGACUCCUACGGGAGGCAGCAGUGGGGAAUAUUGCACAAUGGGCGCAAGCCUGAUGCAGCAACGCCGCGUGAGGGACGACGGCCUUCGGGUUGUAAACCUCUUUUAGUAGGGAAGAAGCGAAAGUGACGGUACCUGCAGAAAAAGCACCGGCUAACUACGUGCCAGCCGCCGCCGUAA